CAACAGGGAGUUCGCAAAUUAUUUUGGCGGCUGGGUAUGUAAUUCAAUAUUUCUGUACGUGUUUAUGUUUAUUGCAUAAUUAUCCAUAUUUACAGUUGAAUGGUUGGUUGCAGAUGAACCAUAUUCAAUUUGAUGGUCACCCAAAUUGGACGCACGAACUAAAACUUCUAGCGAUGAAGCCGAUAAUGUCAAGAGUUUAUCCGAUGUGCAAGGUGAAUGGUGUGCAAUUUAUAUGUGAACAGAGAGACAGCAGACGGAGAACACAGAAUUCUAGGGUCAUGGCGCAUGGUGGGUGAAAUGGAGUUGACUAUUUUGGUGUUCUACAUUCAGUGGUGGAACUCGUUUAUGGGCAAUGCAAGACAGUGCACCUCUUCAAGUGUAGAUGGUUUGAUACUAAGCCGCAGAGCAUGAAGACCGAUCAGUAUGGAAUAUUAUCGGUGAACAUUGCUACAAGUUCUUACGAAGUUAACCCGUUCGUUUUUGCCACAUCGGUAAAACAAGUGUUUUAUUUUGAUGACAUUGCUAAGGGUGACGCGUGGAAAGUAGUCAACCUUGUGCACCCUCGAAACAUUUACCGGGCGGCUACACUUGGAGAGGCCGAAGACGAGGAAGAAGAUGUUGCUUAUCAAGACCCCAGCGCAAUAUGUAUUCCUAACCCCUCUACCGUUCGCCUUAGUAAUUUUAAAACGGGUCAUUCGGUGCGAAUUCGUGAUGAAGAGCCAAGGCUUAUUGAUGUUGAUCUAAAUCAAGAAACUGACGAACACUCUGGUGAUGAGGAAAGGCAUAGAUUACCAGAAAUUAAUUCUGACACCGAAGAAGACUCAUCGGAUGAUUCCGAUUACGAGCCUUAGUUUUAAUUCCAAUUACAUUAAUUUGUAAUAAAAAAGAAUGUAUAACCUUUAUAGUUUACAUAUGUUGAAUUCAUAUUUCUGUUAUUUUAUAUGAAUUUUGGUGAUAUAUGAACAGGAAGUUAGUAUGGUUUUAAACCUUCUGUUUUUUUAAUGUAUUUUUAUACUUUAGCUGAUGAAAUAUACCAUAAUUCGUCUGCUUAAAUCAUCUUAGCCGACAAAAUAAGUCAUAAUUCGUCGACUAAGAUGCGGUUAGCCGAUGAAUACACUAAUAUUUCGUCGGCUAAACCCUAAACCCUAAACCUUAGCCGACGAAUACCCUAAUAUACAACUUGUUGCUUGUCAUUGAUUUGAAACUAUUUUCAGUUUAAUGUCCGGGAAAAAUACGUAAUUUAGACGGUCCAAUGACUUUUUCCGUGCGUUUAGGGGUUUGAGUUAUAGGAUUGACCGUCCGGAUUGAGUCCUUAACCUUGUCGGAUCAAGUUGAAGUUUUUCCCAUACAUGUAUUUUAUCAUGAUGGUCAGAUUUGACGGUGGGAUUUUCGUUUCUCAAGUUUGAUCAUUACAAUCACAACAUACCUACUAAUGUUGUAUAACUUGUUUACCAAGUGUUUUAAGUAAAUGUUCCGUUUCAAAAACAAACUAUAUGUAGAACCUUCAAACGCAAAAAAGUCGUGAAAUAAGAUAUGACCAGAAUAGUGAAAUACGUCUAGGGUUGAAAAAUCACGGUAUUCCGGUAAAGUUUUGGUGCCGAUAGUUGCGGUCAAUGCAAUUUUCCAUUAUUUCUCCCUAUGGGUAGCCCUAUCUUCGGUGGUUAUUUUCCGUAAAAUUUUUAUAUGACUUGUUGUGUCUCAUCGGUUUGAAAUAUUUUCAGUUGAAGGUCCGGCCAAAAUAAGUAAUUUAGACGGUCCAAUGACCUUUUCCGUGCGUUUAAAGGUUUGACUUAACGGAUUGACCGUCCGGAUCGAGCCCUUAACCUUGUCGGAUCAAGUUGAAUUUUUUCCUAUACAUGUAUUUUAUGAUGAUGGUCAGAUCUGACGGUCGGAUUUUCGUUUCUCAAGUUUGAUCAUCACAAUCACAAGCACUUUAGCCGACGAAUUUCAAAGGUUAGCCGACGAAUUUCAAAGUUUAGCCGACAAAUUUAAAGGUUUAGCCGACGAAGUAAAAAUUUCGUCGGCUAAAGUUAUACAGUAUACAGACGAAGACCCAACGGUCGACAGCCUCCACAACGCGUUUCAAAAACCCUAGCCUCCUCCGCCUCCCUCUCCCGGUCGCCCUCUCUCUCUCCCGGUCUCCCGGUCUGCCUCCUCCGCCUCCUCUCCCUCUCCCGGUCUCCCGGUCGCCGUCUCCCUCUCCCUCUCCCUCUCCCUCUCCCGGUCUCCCUCUCCUUCUCCCAAAUUCUCCAACUCCUCUUCUUCUCCAAGGUUAGCGUUUUUCUUCUUUUUUACUUUUGAUUUUGAAUUGAUUUUCACCUCUGCUUUUUGUUACUAUCCAAUCUCUCAUUUUACUGUUAUGAUCAUGAAUUCAUAUGGGUAACCCAAUCAAAUCUGUAAUCUUCGGUCCAAUUUUGAUGGCUAAAGACGUUACAUUUUUCCCUAAUUUAUGUCUAGGAGAUUAAUUAUCCCAUUUUGGGGUCCAAAUGCUUUGUUGNNN
rnacentral:lncRNA from 1 species